AAGAAGUAUUUUGCAAAAAGUGUGAGGUUGUCAUGCCUGCUAUUACUACAGCUAUGCCAGCAGGCAUGACAACCUCAUACUUUUUGCAGAAUAGUUUUUUAUAUUGUAUU